rnacentral:rRNA from 1 species
CGGAUUUAUUGGGCGUAAAGAGCUCGUAGGCGGUUCGGUAAGCUGGGUGUGAAACCUCCAGGCUCAACCUGUAGACGCCACCCGAUACUGCUGUGACUAGAGUCCGGUAGGGGAGCGUGGAAUUCCUGGUGUAGCGGUGAAAUGCGCAGAUAUCAGGAGGAACACCAGCGGCGAAGGCGGCGCUCUGGGCCGGAACUGACGCUGAGGAGCGAAAGCGUGGGCAGCAAACAGGAUUAGAUACCCUGGUAGUCCACGCCGUAAACGUUGGGCACUAGGUGUGGGGUCUUAUCAACGGAUUCCGUGCCGUAGCUAACGCAUUAAGUGCCCCGCCUGGGGAGUACGGCCGCAAGGCUAAAACUCAAAGGAAUUGACGGGGGCCCGCACAAGCGGCGGAGCAUGUUGCUUAAUUCGAGGCAACGCGAAGAACCUUACCUGGAUUGAACUACGCAGGAAAAGCCACAGAGAUGUGGUGUCCUUCGGGGCCUGUGAUAGGUGGUGCAUGGCUGUCGUCAGCUCGUGUCGUGAGAUGUUGGGUUAAGUCCCGCAACGAGCGCAACCCUUAUCCUAUGUUGCCAGCACGUAAUGGUGGGGACUCGUGGGAGACUGCCGGGGUCAACUCGGAGGAAGGUGGGGACGACGUCAAGUCAUCAUGCCCCUUAUGUCCAGGGCUGCAAACAUGCUACAAUGGCCGGUACAAAGGGCUGCUAUACCGCGAGGUGGAGCGAAUCCCAUAAAGCCGGUCUCAGUUCAGAUUGAAGUCUGCAACUCGACUUCAUGAAGCUGGAGUCGCUAGUAAUCCCGGAUCAG